GCAGCUGGAGCUCCUUGUCCAGGGCCCUGUUGUGGGGACAAAGGCACGAAUCAAUGCAUUCUCGGUUCUUUUGUCCUAAAUAAUUGGCUUCCAUUAAGUGGGCUGGACGAGUGAGGCACUCACAGGAACAGGAGCCUGGAACUUAUGAAAAUGGAUCUGAGGGAGGAGCCAGGAGGAGCAGCUCUGAGGGGCCCCCAGGGGUCCACCCUCCCACCGCCACCUUGGGAAGGGGUCUCGACCUCUCUGGGCUUAGUUUCCGCCUCUGCAGACAGAGUGGGGGCGAGGGGACUGCUGGCUGGGGGUUUUCAAAUUGCACUUGGCAAAGCCCUGGGGGUCCACGGGUCUGGUGCGGAGCAGGACUCCGGACAGACCCUCCAGAACUCAGCUGGAGCAGCCCCUUCUCUCUACCUGUUUCACGUAUUGGGCUGUUUCUUUCCAUUUUAAUUUGAGCAAAAGACACCCAGCCAAAAAAAAAAAAAGCAUUUGAAACCACUAGACAGGGGAUAGUUAGGGUCCAUCCCAGCUCUAGAACUUUCCAGAUCCCACCUUGAGGUUUGGGGGUCUUAGAACAGAGGAGUGGCCCGUCUGUCAUUGAGGGAGGCUUGGUCCAGGUGGCCUGACCUACUGUGGCCACGCUCUGUGACCUUGAGCCAGCCUUGCCUCUGAGCCGCACUCCCUGCAUCGGAGAAAAGAGGAAGUGACGAGUCGGGUGGUGACUGCAGUGACAACCGUAAUCGCCGACCUUUCCAGGUGCACCCCACGUGCCCCGGGUGGAGUGGCCACCCGCGCUCUCUCCUUGAACCCAACCCCAGCGAGACUCGUUCACUCGCUGGCUCAUUAACAGGUACCUACAACCACACUCCAGUUGCCGCGAAGAAACACACCUGUCCUUGCUCUCAUGGAACUUACAGUCUGCUUGGAAACAAAGAAUGAAAGUCGUAAAUCAGUAAAACAGGAAGAUCAAGCUGGGAAGGGGACUGGUGAGCAGUGGGGCUCGGGUCGCGUCUGCCAUUCAAAAUGAGGUGGUCAGGAAAAGCCGCAGGAGAAGGUGCCACUGAGCACAGACCUGAAGGAGCCGUGUGCAGACACAGGAACAGCCACUGCAAAGGCUCUGAGUCAGGGUGUUUGAGGAGCAGCGGGGGCCCAGUGUGACCACAGGCCAGUGGGCGAGGGCAAGGGUGACAGGAGAUGAGCCUUCAAAUGGCACUUGGCAGAGCCCGGGGGCUGCGGAGGUCUGGGACCCGCACGUGUGGGGCCCUGUGUCCACGGUGGGGACCUGGGCUUCACCCUGAGUGAGACGGAGUGUGAGGGAGGGCUGUAUUUGGGGCAGAGGAGCCACAUGCAGGGGUCACUCUCGAAGGAGGAGGGGAGGAAGCGAGCAGUGGUCAGGUUAGGGUGCAUCCUGAAAGUGGAAUGGACAGGAAGUGCUGCAGGGUUGGAGGGGAUGUCAGAGGAAGACGGGGUCAAGGGUCACACCAGGUGUUGGGAGGAGCGACUGGCGGGGGAGUUUCCACUGACUGAGAUGGGGAACCACAAAGAUGCCGGCUGUGGAAGCGUCAGAUGCCUGAAGCCUCUCGGCCGUGGGGCGGAGAUGACCAGGAGGCAGUGGGUGCGACUCUGGGGUCAGAGCACAGUCUGGGCUGGCGUGGGCCACUGUGCACACGGUGUUUGUAUCUCCGAUCCCCGAGGAAGUGGGUGUAGACAGAAGCCCUGGGCCCCCGGAGGGAGAGGCUGGCAGGUGAGGAGGACCCCGCUGAGGACCAGGAGAGCAGACAGCCAAGGGGCGGGAGGAGAAGCAGCGAUGGAGGCCCCCAGAGAGGCAGGGAUGACUUGUGACAAAAGGCCAGUAAGAGGAACCCCGAAAAGUGACACAGAUUUAGCCACAUAGAGGCCGUCGGUGACCCUGACCAGAGUGGCUCUGGCGGAAUAGUGGGGACAAAAACCCGACUGAAGUGGAGAGACGAGGAGCGGAGGCAGCCCGCUCUUGCCGAUGAGGCCUGGACUCUUUCAACGACUCGUGCCCUAAAGCACGACAGAGAGCCUGGCUGUGCAGGCCGACGGGAUGUGGACAGGGUUUUCUUUCGUUGUUUGCUUGAAGGUGGGAGAAGUUUGAGCAUAUUUUUAGGCUGUUGAGAAUGAUCCUGGAAAGGGGAUAAAAUUACUGAUGCCGGAGAGAGAAGACCUGCUGGUGCGAAGUGUUUGUGUGGGUGAAAGGGGCCGGCAUCGAAGCUCAGAUGGACACGGCUUAAAUAGGCUACAAAGAAAGAAACUGAGGCCCAGAGAGGUGAAGUGACCUCCCCUGGGACCCACAGGCUCCUGCUUGAAGAAACAGGGCGGUGGCCCCCAGUGUUGGCUUGGGAGUGAGGUCCUGUGAGGCUGCAGACACAAUUCAGUGACGCAUGCACUGGACUCCUGGCUCCGAGACCCCCAGUGGAUGCCUGAAACCGUGGGCAGUACUCACCCAAUAUUGACUACGUUUUUCCUACACAUACAGACCUAGGAUCAAGCUUAAUUUAUAAAUGAGGCACAAUAAAAAAGAGAUUAACGACAAUGGCUAGUAAUAAAAUAGAAAGAUUAUAACAAUAUCCUGUAAUAAAAGUGACCUUCGAUCUUAGCAACCUCAGCAUACGAUUCUUUUUCUUUCCUUAUUGAGAACUGUCACCUUUUCACCUAAAGGAAGCACUUGAUGGCUUCUCUUUGGCGUGUCAGAAUGGCCAGCAUCACUGCCCUGGCUCUUUGGGGCUGUUAUUAAGGAAGAUAAGGGUUCCUUGAACACCUUCCUUGAACACCUGCGAUGAUAACUGAGAUGAUAACUAAGGGACUAAAGGGCGGGUGGUGUACACAGUGUGGAUCCGCGGGACAAAGGGACGACUCAGGACCCAGGCAGGACGGAGUGAGAAGGAGAGAUUUCAUCAUGCUACUCAGACGACAUGCAAUUUAAAACUUUGACUUGUUUAUUUCUAGAAUUUUCCAUGUAAUGUUUUUGGACCAUGGUUGACCACAGGUAACUGAAACCAUGGAAAGCGAAACCGCAGAAAGUGGGGGCGGCUGUGUCUGUGACCUGUGCACACACACAUGGGUGUACGUGGAUGAGCCUGCGUGUGCGCUGUUUGGCGCUGACACCUCGCGGAUCCCUGGGGCGAGUUGCAGCAUCCCCUUUUCCCUGGGGGCUCAGCCAAGGGCUUUCAGGUGGGCAAUCACUCGAGAGGGCAGAGGGUGGAGACGGCGAGCUUCAGCAUGGACCUGCAUGGUCAGCAGAGGGUGCCCGCCUCCUCGUCCCUGCCCACCCCACUACAGAGGCCCGGGGCUGGCCGUGAGGCCUGUACCAACGGCUGAUACCUACUGUGGAGGUAGAUUCUCGCCUCGGUUGAAAGAUGAGGUAGGGUACAGACCGUGGAAUAUUAUUCAGCCUGGAAAAGGAAGGACAUUCUGACACCUGCCACAACAUGCAUGAACUCUGAGGACCCCAUAUGCAGUGAAAUAAGCCAGUCACAAAAGGACGAACUUUGCACGAUGCCACUCACAUGAAGCCUCUCGAGGAGUUAAACUCACGGAGACAGAGAGUGGAACGGUGGUGGCCGGGGGCUGGGGGAGGAGGUGGUGGGGGUCUUGUUUAAAGGGGACUGAGUGUAAACUUUGUAAGAGGAAAGCGUUCUGAGGAAGGAUGGUAUGACCGCCGCACGACAUUGUCAGUGUACUUAGUGCCGCUGAACUGGACACUUACAAAUGGUCAAGAUGGUGCAUUUCGUGAGAGGGGUGUUUUACCACAAUAAUACAAAAACAGACAGGUGGACCCCAGAGGAGUUCUUGCCUGAGGUCACACAGCUGCUGGGGAGUGCAGCCGGAAUCUGAACCCAGGCAGAGUGACCCUGGAGCUUUCAUCCUGUACCCUGACAUCGUCCCCACUGGCCCCCGCAGUAAGAGGGGGACAAAGACCCCCAUAGGUGAACAAGUCAGGGGCCAGCACAGCACAGCGGGCCAGGGCUGGUGCUCUGGGGCCUGACCACCCCCCCUCGGACCCGGAGCCCGGCUCUCAGCCUCUCUGAGUCAAGGCUGCCCUGUGGCAUGGAGACAACAAAGAUACCACCUCAAGGGGAAAUGAGACCCUGCUCCCAGCACGGUGCUGGGCUCAGCCCAGAGGGUCAAAUGCACACAAAAAGGGUGCUGACCCAGCACCACCACCUGGGCCCAUAAGCAAAGUCGGCUCAGUCUGUGUGGGAGUGAUGAGGAAGUGAUGUGACUAUCACAUGAGGAUGCUCCUUGAAGUAGAUGUCAUUUGAAUGGAGGGUAGAGAAGGGUUUCAACAGGAGGCAUGAGGUGGGGAUGGCAUUCCUGGCAGAGGUUAUGGCUUGAGGAACAAUCUGGAAGUGGGGGCUGUCUGAUCUGUUCUGAGAACUUGCAACCAGGCUGGUGGGGCUGGAGUGUAGGACUGAAGAUAAUUAUUCAGUUCUUUGGGUGGCAGAUUACAGAAACAGCUCAAAGGGAUUUUUUUUUGCUUAUGUUAUCAGAAGAGUGCAGGAGAUGAGCUUCAGGUGCAGCUGGAUCCAGGGUUCAGUCUUUCCUGUUCCAUUUCCUAGUUCUGCUCUCCUCACACUGGCUUCGUUCUGAGAUAACUGAAUGCCUCAGGGCUUCCCUCCCUGCUGUUUCAACCCUAAUUAGGAAAGAACAGAUUGUUCUUAGUGAUUCCUACCAAAGUCCCUGAGCUGACCCUGACUGACCCAGCUUCCACGUCAAGCCACCUUGAACCAUGCCAUGCUCAGGGCUAUUGUCUGAGCUGGGGCCGGGGCUCACCCCUGGAUCUCAAGGGUCAGGAGGUGACAGCCCUGCCUGGAUGACAUGGGCUGAGAGUGGAGGCUGGGCAAUUCCUCAAAGGAAAACCAGGGUGAUGUUUCCAGAAGGAGGGAAAUGAAUGUUAAGCAGGCGGAAACACCAGAUGUCCUCUCCAGGCAGCAAGAGCCAAGGCUGCAGAGAGAAGCC
rnacentral:lncRNA from 1 species